rnacentral:piRNA from 1 species
AGGAACUGGAGAGAUGGCUCAGGGGUUA